rfam:Marinobacterium sp. AK27 ATG5_contig_5, whole genome shotgun sequence.
CAGCGCGUCUUGAAACCAGCGAUGGGCAUGCCUGUCGCGUGCAUAUUAAACAGGAGCUGAGUUAUGUCUCUGAGCGUUGAACAGAAAGCGCAGAUCGUUGCUGAUUAUGGUCGUGGUGAA